AAUCCAGGAAGUGCAGGAAGUCAGGAAGACUGGCUCUGCAGCAUGGCAGGCGAGGAGAGAAAUGGGGACCCGCAGUGCCAGCAGUAGCCGCCCGUGCACAGUGACUGGGAUGCUGCUGACUGUAUCACCAAUUAUUGUCCUACACCAGGCCAGCGGUGUUCUGCAGUUAUCACUAUGGUGAUGGUCAGCACGUUGCGGCCCCCGCCCCCAAGUGAUGCCGGUCCGUAGGCGCUGACGGGAGCCAAUGACGUCAUCGGUCCACGACGGGUGCGGAAGCGCACAGCCAGCACGAGGUUUGGAUAAUUCACUCUGUUCCUUUGCAAGACUUUGAAAGAAUAACAGACAUACAAAUGGUCAUUCUGGAGGCAGUGGAUAGAGCCGA